UAUCUACAUUGUUCUUUAUGUUUUGGUUUCCCUCCUCAAAAUUCCCCAAAAUAUUUUAGGUUUCCCUUCAGAAGAUAUUCAAAAUUUUAGACUUCCCAUAUCCCUAACCACAACCUUAACCCCAAAUCUAAUUGGAUUGCUCACAUCCUCUCUACCAAUCUCGGUUGGUUCCCAGAGACCACUACAUUGUCGUGAACGGCUGACCACAGCACUUCUUCCUAUUUUGAAGGCCAUUUGAUCCUCGUUCGGCAAUCUGUUUUUUCAGGUUAUGUAUAUGAGGGUGGAAGGUUCUGCGAAACAUUUCAAUUAGACGAUGAUAGCCGGAGAGAUUGAAUCUUGUGGAAAGGUUGAGGAAAGAGUAGAGGAAUACUUGGUUGCGGAUACGGAUGGCAUUUGUGAAGAUCUAAAGAUUGGUCGACGAAUGUAUUGACAAACAAUUUUUUUUGCUAAUGUUAAAAUAUUUAUAGUAUACUUGACAAAUAAUUAUGUAAUGAGUUGUUUUGGUAUAUAUAUGUGUAUUUGUUUUUUGAAUUA